GCUCCGUUGGUGAACCAGCGGAGGGAUCAUUACCGAGUUUACAACCCCCAAACCCAAUGUGAACCAUACCAAACUGUUGCCUCGGCGGGGUCACGCCCCGGGUGCGUCGCAGCCCCGGAACCAGGCGCCCGCCGGAGGGACCAACCAAACUCUUUCUGUAGUCCCCUCGCGGACGUUAUUUUUACAGCUCUGAGCAAAAAUUCAAAAUGAAUCAAAACUUUCAACAACGGAUCUCUUGGUUCUG
rnacentral:misc_RNA from 1 species